UACAGAGGGGGCAAGCGUUGUUCGGAAUUACUGGGCGUAAAGGGCGCGUAGGCGGCCUGUUAAGUCGAACGUGAAAUCCCCGGGCUCAACCCGGGAACUGCGUCCGAUACUGGCAGGCUUGAAUCCGGGAGAGGGAUGCGGAAUUCCAGGUGUAGCGGUGAAAUGCGUAGAUAUCUGGAGGAACACCGGUGGCGAAGGCGGCAUCCUGGACCGAUAUUGACGCUGAUGCGCGAAAGCCAGGGGAGCAAACGGG
rnacentral:rRNA from 1 species